CCCUGGAGGGUCACCCAAGGAAAGAGUUCGUUCCAAAGACAGGUGCUCCUCUGAGUUCCUCUGGAAUCUGGCAAGGUGCCGAGCUUGGACGCAAGGCUUCCAUGAGGCUGUGAAGGAGGUUGCACGGAAACUGGUGGGGAUCUGAAAAGCUUUUAGUGGCCUCGCCACACACAGCACUUCAGAUGCUCAGGUGAUGAGCAACAUUUUCCAAACCCAGCUAGUGAGCACCCCACCUCCUCUGGCUUCCAGAACCUGGUGUGGAGGGCCAGGAGAGGCUUCGGGACUGAAGGGCAGAGCAGCAGACUCCGGGGCUCAUGUAGGAAGGAACAUGCCUUCAGCCAAAGAUUAUCCACGCUGCAUGGAGACUCUUGCUAAAUAUCACUGGUAAAUGCACAAUUAUGUCCCAUUUAGAGAUCUCUAGCAGAGUGUCUUGUGUUUGAUGGAUUUGUCCUGCAUUUAAUUAUAACUUCCUGCUAAAGCUCAGAUGUUUUCUUUCAGGGACAAAUGCAGUGGCUUAAUUUCAUUCAAUCAUUUACUGAGGAUCUGAAAUGCAUGCGGUUAGUGGUGAGAAUACUGACUCAGGGCUGUCCCUUCCUCUGGAGUUGACAGCCGACUGCGCAGGAAGGGAAGGUGAGGGUCAAACACACAGGUCAACAUCAGAAACAGCACUUCCGCCUUCCAUUGGCCCCGAUGUUUCAUGGAGGCCCCGAGGAGGCUGCGAAGGAACAUGGCAGUGACUGCUCCGUGGCUCUGCGUGGUGGCCAGCAACUGUUUGGGCACUAUGACCAUGUACGUUUGACAAAGCGCAUGCAAUUAUUUGAAUAUUCUAUAGUUCUUUUAGGAAACUGAGUAGAAACGGAAAAUUAAAAGUGCUGAUGUUAGUAAUAGGAAACAUGGAUCUCA
rnacentral:lncRNA from 10 species